AGUGAACGCUGGCGGUAGGCCUAACACAUGCCAGUCGAACGGCAGCACAGUGAGAGCUUGCUCUUACGGGUGGCGAGUGGCGGACGGGUGAGGAAUACAUCGGAAUCUACUUUUUCGUGGGGGAUAACGUAGGGAAACUUACGCUAAUACCGCAUACGACCUACGGGUGAAAGCAGGGGAUCUUCGGACCUUGCGCGAUUGAAUGAGCCGAUGUUGGAUUAGCUAGUUGGCGGGGUAAAGGCCCACCAAGGCGACGAUCCGUAGCUGGUCUGAGAGGAUGAUCAGCCACACUGGAACUGAGACACGGUCCAGACUCCUACGGGAGGCAGCAGUGGGGAAUAUUGGACAAUGGGCGCAAGCCUGAUCCAGCCAUACCGCGUGGGUGAAGAAGGCCUUCGGGUUGUAAAGCCCUUUUGUUGGGAAAGAAAAGCAGCAGGUUAAUACCCCGCUGUUCUGACGGUACCCAAAGAAUAAGCACCGGCUAACUUCGUG
rnacentral:rRNA from 1 species